CAUUGCAGGAGUUACUUUUUAGCUUUCAGACUUUGACUGGCGAUUACCUGAUAUUUAAGAAAUUAACCUAUUAAUGAAAAAUUACCUAUCCCUUGAUCCUGCUUUUGUUUCUGACUAGUCAAGGUGGAUUCUUGGGAGAUGAGAUGCAACUAAGGUAUACGAGAGUUUCACGAUGAGCUUCCCACGCAGGAUACGGAAGAAAUUCAUCGGCCUUUCGUGGAGAAUUAAUUUAACCCUGAACGUGGCAAAGAAGUAUCCCGAAAUAAAAUAAUCCUCGAGAUGCAGGAAUGAAAAUGGGAUCUAAAUUGUAUAAUGGAAAGGAGGAGAGACCCUAUGACUAUACCCGUCGUAACUGGAGGUUCUUGAGUCGGUUCUGUUUCUUCCCUUCAAAAUGGCAACCAAUUUACCGGAAAGGAGGUUUCUACAAUUCUAAUUAAGCUGCAAGGUUUCUUGUUACACAAAUAGGCCGCCUCUAUAGUUGAUUUGAAGAUGUGUAUGUUUGAAAUAACUGCGGCAAUGGUGCCCUUCAAUAUCAGAGCAAGGACUAUCAACAAACUUCUAAAGUACUGUCUGUCGCUACACUUAAGACUACUAAAGGAAGUUGUUUACGGCUGAAAAUGGUGUUGGUGUUCAAUACGAUUUUGAAAUUAAUUUGAGGUGAGAGAUUAAGCUAAACAUGAGAGAUUAAACUAAACUAAUGUUUCUUCCUUAAGGUGUUCCGUUUCUUCCUUAAGGUGUUCUUUUUCUAUACAUUACUGUCUGCCAUAUCCUUUUUUCUGUACUGUCUGUGGCAAGACCAGGACAAACAAAUCAUUAAGGAUUUUUCAGACGGGUCAGUGUUCUUUAGCGAUAGUGUACUCCUUAGACGUUAAAUGUUUUAAAGAUACGAAUAUUUUAACUCCAG